rnacentral:rRNA from 1 species
AUGCUAGACUCCUUCGCCGAGGAGAUUGCUGUGGAGUUGAAGGGAACAUUGGAGGCUCUUCAAGCAAGAUCACUUAGCAGGAGUGGUCUGAGGAUAUACGUGAAUAGACCGCGUGAAGAAGCACAUCAACAGCUUGUACGAGAUUACUUCUGUGACAAUCCUCUCUACCACGCCAAAAAAUUUCGGAGAAGAUUCAGGAUGAGACGACCUCUCUUUCUUCGCAUCGUCAAUGCGCUAUGUGAGUGGUCUCCAUACUUCACCACAAGGACAGAUGCGCUUAACCGUGAAGGGCUCUCUCCACUGCAAAAGUGCAUGGCGGCAAUACGCCAAUUGGCUUAUGGCACACCUGCAGAUAGUGUUGAUGAAUAUCUCAAGAUUGGCGAGACUACCGCAGUUGAUUGCUUGAAGAACUUUGUGCAAGGAGUGAUUGAUACCUAUGCUGCAGAGUAUUUGCGAAGCCCCAACACUGAAGAUAAAAGAGCGCUUACUCUGCAUUGGCGAAGGUCGUGGGUUUCCUGGCAUGUUAGGAAGCCUGGAUUGUAUGCAUUGGCGUUGGGAAAAAUUUCCUAUUGCAUGGAAGGGCCAAUUUACUCGUGGUGA